GGAGAAAAUAUGUUAAAUUAAGUUAGGCUCAGAGAGACUAAUGACAUGUUUUCUCUCAUAUGUGGAAGCUAGAUCUAAAAUACAAACAUACAUGAUAAAAUAUACAGGGUUUAUGCAUGUACACAAAAACAAACUAACUAAAGGAUGGUAUACUUAGG